UUGCCUACAAGCUAUAGGACUGUCAGCUACUCUUCCUGCAUGUUUCCGUGCUCCCCAUUGUGAUGAUAAUGGCCUGAACUUCUGAAACUGUCCCACCCUCCUUACAGGAACCAAGCAGAGCAGUGAACACCAGGCAGAACUGCAUACUGCAUAGCAGAUGACAAGGACCUUAGACUUGGAUGGAGGAGAAAUCAGAAAUAAACUAAGACUGACACACAGCCCCACUAGAGAAGAAAUCCAACAAUACAGCUCAGCUUCGAUUCUGCCUCAGCUGCAACUUGGCCCCAGCUAACAUCACCCUGGGAAAUCGUUUCUCUUUAAGUGCUGGCAACCCAUUGCUGUUUCAUAAGUUGCUUUUCGCGGUGAUGAAAUGGUUGGUGUUUGUCUUGACUGGCUUAAGGAAUACCCAGAGAGCUGGUCUAGCACUGAGUCUGGAUAUGUGUGUGAGGAUGUCUUUAGAAGAGAUUGGCAUAUGAGUGACUGCAUUUGCUGAGAGAGACUUUCCUUCUCCCCUGCAAAGGUGGGCAACAGCCAAUUUGCCAAGGAACGGGAUGGAACAAAAAGGAAGGGGUCUGGCAGUUGUCAGUAUUUGCUGGAGCCAGUAUAUGCAUUUCCUAUCGUCAGUCACCAGAAGUCCACAUCUUUGGGCCUUACAAACUCUGGAACUUACAUCAAUGCCCUGAAAUGUCUCAAGUCUUCUGCCCUGCACUGAUGAUACCAACUUCCCUGGUUCUCAAGUCUUUGGACAAACCCGAGUUCCACCACCAGCUUUCCCGAGCUCCUCCAUCUUGAGACAGCUGUUGUGGAACUUCUCCACCUCCAUAGUUAGUUAGGGAAUUCAAGAUUAGCCUGCACUACCUGCCACCCAAUCUUGAGAAGAAAAAAAGAAGAACUACUUUGGAUAUCUCUCACUGAUCUGAAGUCCCACAGAUUGCUGCUGAAGUUCUGGCCAUACACUGUGAGCUUCUCUAGGAUAAAUCCCUCUUGCAAGAAAAGAAAACCCUUCUAUUAUUGACUGGCUGUAUACGUACAGAUAUGAGAGCAGGUGCCUCAGGAGUGCAGAAGAGGAUGUCAGAUCCCCUGGAGCUGGAAUUACAGGAAGUUGUGAGCUACAUGUGAUGCUGGGAAGUGAACUCCGGUCCCCUGGAAGAAUAGUUCUCACUCUUCUAAGCCAUCUUUCUAGCCCCAGAUUGAUCAUAUUUCCUUUUUGUAGUUGUAGCAACAUAUAAACAGCCAUUAUAAGCAUAGUAUAAAAUUAAUGAGCAGGUGUCUCCUCCAAAUCCCACAUCAAUGCCUCUAUUCUGCACCAAGUUUCCAAUGAAUGAAACUAUGCUACAUGGCUGUUUCUCAACAGUAUGAAAGGAAACAUUCAAUUAACUUUUGUUACCUCCAGAAAAUAAGAAUAUAGGAAGUAUUUGUUUUUCCAUACUUCUAUACUGUGAUGCAUAUCUGACAAAACAAUUCAAUAAAGCUUAUACUUUAUAUAUGAAUUCAUAA